rnacentral:rRNA from 1 species
AUUGAACGCUAGCGGGAUGCCUUACACAUGCAAGUCGAACGAGUGGCGAACGGGUGAGUAAUGUAUCGGAACGUGCCCAGUAGCGGGGGAUAACUACUGGAAACGGUAGCUAAUACCGCAUACCAUCGGAUGUGCCCAGAUGGGAUUAGCUAGUAGGUGGGGUAAAGGCUCACCUAGGCGACGAUCCCUAGCUGGUCUGAGAGGAUGACCAGCCACACUGGAACUGAGACACGGUCCAGACUCCUACGGGAGGCAGCAGUGGGGAAUAUUGCACAAUGGGCGCAAGCCUGAUGCAGCCAUGCCGCGUGUAUGAAGAAGGCCUUCGGGUUGUAAAGUACUUUCAGCGGGGAGGCGUUACCCGCAGAAGAAGCACCGGCUAACUCCGUGCCAGCAGCCGCGGUAAUAC